UUAUAAAAUGAUAGUUUAAUUUUCCAAUGAAAGUGUAAUGUUUUUUAUUUAAACUAUAUAAAUUUAAAU
rnacentral:tRNA from 1 species